rnacentral:rRNA from 1 species
UAGGGAAUCUUCCACAAUGGACGCAAGUCUGAUGGAGCAACGCCGCGUGAGUGAAGAAGGUUUUCGGAUCGUAAAGCUCUGCUGUUGGUAAAGAAGGAUAGAGGUAGUAACUGGCCUUUAUUUGACGGUAAUCAACCAGAAAGUCACGGCUAACCACGUGCCAGCAUCCGCGGUAAUACGUAGGUGGCAAGCGUUGUCCGGAUUUAUUGGGCGGAAAGCGAGCGCAGGCGGAAGAAUAAGUCUGAUGUGAAAGCCCUCGGCUUAACCGGGGAACUGCAGCGGAAACUGUUUUUCUUGAGUGCAGUAGCGGAGAAUGGAAUUCCAUGUGUAGCGGUGGAAUGCGUAGAUAUAUGGAAGAGCACCAGUGGCGAAGGGGAAUCUCUGGUCUGAAACUGACGCUGAGGCUCGAAAGCAUGGGUAGCGAAAAGG